rnacentral:lncRNA from 1 species
UUUCAAAGGAAUCUGCCCAAAUACUCUUGGGCUCAUCUACUUAGGAUAAACUUGACCCAGGUCUGAGUCUCCUGCUCCUUCCUCAUUAGGUUGUUGGCUUUAGCGUGAGAGAUCUGUGCCUUGGGUCUCUUUUGCAGCUCUGCCCUUCAAACCCGUGACCUAAUUGUUGUAGCCUUCUAGCUGGGGAACAUGGAGGUCUUCCAAGGUGGUUACACCUUCUGGCUAUUGCCGCAUCCACAUGCCCUGAGCUAGCUGAUUUUAAGUUGACUUCUGAGUCUGAAAGGAUGACUGGCUCCCAAAGCAGUUAGCAAGUGCCAGCCAACUCCACAAACUUAUAAUUGCCUUCUUACCCAUAUUGUUUAAGUGCUAGAACUCUAGGAGAACCCAAAUGUUUCUCCUCCACUCUGUACCACAUCCAGAUGCAACAGAGGUGAGUCUUAAUACCCAACUUGAUGCAGUUAUCACAGUGAUUAUCACCACCCCAUUUACCAACAGCAUCACAAUACUUUCUGCUCUCAAGCUAUUGUCGUUCCAGACUCUUAGAGAGCCUACUUUCUAUAGGCUUUCUACUGUCUUAGCUCGGCUUCCUUAAAAACAGAGCCCAAGACCAAAAGUUUAGUGCAAGCCAUGUAUUUGGGACUUUAUCCCCUAUAGCAGGAGUGAGGGAACCAGACAAAAAUGAAAAGGAAAUCAUUGAAGUUUGUCAUGGGCAGUGUGAGCUUGACUCUGCUGAAACCUUCAAGCAUGCUUUGUAGCAUUGUCAGCCAGAAGCUUUGGAAGCAGGGACCCUAAUCAAAUGAGUAUUUGCCUUCCAUUGGUAGAUGGUGGUUCUUGGGUAUUAGCCUGAGAGCUAUAGGUCUGCGGCAAGAAGUGGAGAGUUUAACCCUAGUCUUGUUCCCUCUGUAUCCAUCUCUGCUUCUAUGGAACUAUAGCUAAAAUCAGCAAUUGGCAGAGGGUAUAUAAGGCAACUGACACUAUAGAAGCAUCUACAACUUCAGGUUUCUUAAUAAACACUUGAAUGAGUGACAGGCUACCAGGUUUUACCCUUGUUACUCUUGCUUGAUCUGUUAUGGUUGGCUUGAAUAAGAAUGUCCUCUUGGCUGUGUACGCUAUGUAAGCUAGAGGAGAAAUCAAUGAGUGUUAUUAGAAUGCGGUAGACAUUACAGCAGGAAGUACUUAACGUCAAGGCCUUCUACUUGUUAAGUGAAGACAUAAAAGAAACAUCACCAAAAUUGUGAUCUAGAGACAGGGCAGGCUUGCUUAGAAUGAUUAAUGAAUUCAGCACCAUUGGUGUGUGCCCAACCACUGUUAUAUUUAACUGAAGUGUCUAGGGGUAAAGAUGUUUUAAAUACAUCUCACCCUGUCUACCAGGAGUGGAAGGAAACUACCAGACAACUAGGGGACUAGAAGGACUCUGCACACAGCAGCACCUAAGGUGGAGGAGCCCCUUCACGGGUGGGUGUAUUACCUACUAUGGUUUGGGGGGGUGAUGGGUUGAUUCCAUAGAUUUACCAGAAAAGGAGAGAGGCUGAGUUCUGUUCUUGUGGACAUAUCUAAAUGACUUGUCUGUCAGACAGUGGAGUUGGACUACACCUUAUGCUUUAGAAGGAGGUGAAGGAGAAAUAACCAAGGUCCCUGGGGUCCUAAUGUGGCCCUUCCCAGAGGCUCUGCUUUGGGAAGAUGAUUGAGGAGGUAUGUAUGAAGAGGGCCCUGGAGAUGCAGAGGUCCUGGGCUUCCCUCCCCACCCCCCAACCUAUGUGUGGAGCUGGCCUAAGAUGGGAGAGAGCAGCAGGGUAAGAAGAGGCUAGAACUGGGACAAAGAUUCUCACCUCGUAGCAACUUUCUUCUCUAAGCUCUGCCUGCCUAUUCUGAGCCUCGCUCCUUCACAAGCAGGGUGGCUAGGAUCUCAGUGGAGUGGCUGUCCUGGAAUAAGUAACACUAGUCAACUGGCCAAAGUCUGUGCUUAUCUGAGUCAUGCUUUUCCCCUCAGCACUUGCUGCUUACUCUCUCAGGGACUGGGUAUUCCUUGGGAGCUCAUGGAAGGGCCCUGCAAUUGGGGUACCUCUGUGCCCAGGCUCUGGGAUGGGAAGUGGUGUGAAGCACCUUGGGCCUCCAACUGCAUUCCUUAGUCCACUAGGACUAAGGCUGUUGGUGCUGGAACUCGUCUAGAUCACUGCCUGUUGCCUGCCUGCCCACUUCCAUAGGGUAAACAAACUUUCAUGCAUGUGGACAUAAGUGUAAGUAUUAUAAACACAUUUCUUGCCUUAUUGCACUGGCUAUGGCCUCUAACAUGGUGUUGAAUAAAAGUUGAUAUUAAAUGGUUUUCUCCUAUGAUUGGAAGGCAACUCUUUCAGAAUUAAGGAUUGUUCAAGCUGUGGCUUUUUCACAAACAUCCUUUCAGGUUGAGAAAGUUUUCUUACUCCCAGUUUGUUCAAUUAUAAUAAAUGGGUAUUAAAUUGACAUGCUUUUCUGCAUUUCCUGAGAUUAUUUCUUAGUAUGGUGAAUUACUUUUUAAAAACUAACCUGGCAUUCCUAGAAUAGGUUCACAUGGUCACGAUGUAUUUUUACAUCUGCCAAAUUUGAUUUGCUAAGUUUAAGGGUCUUUGCAACACCUUAGAAAAUGAAAAGAUAGUUUCAUUUUCUCAUAACAUCCUUUUCAGUAACAUCAGGGUUUUUCUGGCCUCAGCAAGUAGGAAAGUGUUUUUCUGAGUUUAUGGAAGAUUGCUUCCAGUGUCUGAUAUGAGGUGGAACCUAUAAACAGGAGAAAUGGCAUCUUUCUUGCAGGACUGGACUAAGUGAAAUAAACAUGCAAGAAACACUAGUGAGAAAAUGGCGAGAGGUCCAAAGAGACUGGAGAGUCCUCACGCUGCAAUGUAGGUCUGACCUCAAAGGAACAGAAGGUAGAGUGAGUCUAAGCCAAGGCUGCUUGUUGGGAUCCCAUAUCCCAGGAACAGACCUGCCUUAGUAUCCCUAGCAUGAUUGGUCACUGCUGGGACUAAGCACAAGAAGUGUGGCCUUGGUAAAAUGCGGUGAAAGAUCUUGGAGCCCAGCAGUGAGGGAUCACCAUCAGCACGCUCCCUGCCAUCAGAUCUGGGGUGUAUGCUCAUGGCUGUCCCAGAACCCUACCUGUGUCAUGCUUGUCUCAUGGCCUGGGGGUUAAAGGGCCGACGUAAUGGACUGAUGCACUGUUGGUUGCUCUAGACCAUCUCUCCCAGCACUGAGCUGAAGCAGAUACUUGGGAAGUGAGGGAGAACUGAACAGCGUCUUGUCUAGUGUGAACACAAGAUCUUUAAGGUUCUAGGAAGUUAGAUUCCUGCAUCAGGGCUGGGUGUUCUUCUGUCACUUGCAGUCAGGACAAAGAUAGUUAUGGUGCAAGCUAUGGACAGAAGUUCAGGAUGGUCCUAAGAGAUGACAUGCCCUGGCUCUUCGGCUUGGAAAGAAAGUCUUGCUGGCAAGAGCAACAACUCCUACAGAAAGUACAUCUUGGUUUUGCUGAAAUGUUCUGCUUGGCAUGAACUUGAACUAAUGGGACUAAAUGAAUGUCCAGGUUCCAGAGAACUUUGUAAAACAAAACUGAGGCCCUAUUCAACCCGCGUUUAUACAGUAAUACUUGAGUAUCUCAAGUGGUGAGGCAUUAAUAACUGUCUUUUUCUCAAGGGUCUCCUAAAAUUGCAUCUCCGUUUGCCUCUCCUCAGGGGCCAGAACUAGCUUAGCCAGGUGCUAGUUUAAAUGAGAGUGACUUGGAAGAAAUAGGGCAGGGAGGGCCCCCUAGAGGACAUAGAGCAGAGUCACAGAGACAAGAACCUUAGGGUAAAGGAGAGCUCGAUUCUGGAGCUGACUGGGAAAUCCAUGUUCAGAGGAAUUAAAGAAAUGGAGAUGCCCCUUAUGUCAAAUUAGCCUUCUGAGUUCAUGUCUAGGUGCUGGCAUGUGCCAGAGUUCCCGUCGUGGCGCAGUGGUUAACGAAUCCGACUAGGAACCAUGAGGUUGUGGGUUCGAUCCCUGCCCUUGCUCAGUGGGUUAACAGUCCGGCGCUGCCGUGAGCUGUGGUGUAGGUUGCAGACGUGGCUCGGAUCCCGUGUUGCUGUGGCUCUGGCGUAGGCCAGUGGCUACAGCUCCGAUUCAACCCCUAGCCUGGGAACCUCCAUAUGCCGUGGGAGCGGCCCAAGAAAU